rnacentral:rRNA from 1 species
AACGUACCCAGUAGCGGGGGAUAACUACGCGAAAGCGUGGCUAAUACCGCAUACGCCCUUAGGGGGAAAGGUGGGGAUUCUUCGGAACCUGUCACUAUUGGAUCGGCCGAUAUCGGAUUAGCUAGUUGGUGGGGUAAAGGCCUACCAAGGCGACGAUCCGUAGCUGGUUUGAGAGGACGACCAGCCACACUGGGACUGAGACACGGCCCAGACUCCUACGGGAGGCAGCAGUGGGGAAUUUUGGACAAUGGGGGCAACCCUGAUCCAGCCAUUUCGCGUGUGCGAUGAAGGCCUUCGGGUUGUAAAGCACUUUUGGCGGGGAAGGAAAGCACUGGGUUAAUACCCUGGUGUCAUGACGGUACCCGCAGAAUAAGCACCGGCUAACUACGUGCCAGCAGCCGCGGUAAUACGUAGGGUGCGAGCGUUAAUCGGAAUUACUGGGCGUAAAGGGUGCGUAGGCGGUUGCGCAAGACAGAGGUGAAAUCCCCGGGCUUAACCUGGGAAUUGCCUUUGUGACUGUGCGGCUAGAGUAUGUCAGAGGGGGGUAGAAUUCCACGUGUAGCAGUGAAAUGCGUAGAUAUGUGGAGGAAUACCGAUGGCGAAGGCAGCCCCCUGGGAUGAUACUGACGCUGAUGCACGAAAGCGUGGGGAGCAUACAGGAUUAGAUACCCUGGUAGUCCACGCCCUAAACGAUGUCAACUAGCUGUUGGGG